rnacentral:rRNA from 1 species
GACGAACGCUGGCGGCGUGCUUAGCACAUGCAAGUCGAACGAUGAAGCUGGAGCUUGCUCCGGUGGAUUAGUGGCGAACGGGUGAGUAACACGUGAGUAAUCUGCCCUUGACUCUGGGAUAACUGCGGGAAACUGUAGCUAAUACCGGAUACGACACCUUCGGGCAUCCGAUGGGUGUGGAAAGAAUUUCGGUCAAGGAUGAGCUCGCGGCCUAUCAGCUAGUUGGCGAGGUAAUGGCUCACCAAGGCGACGACGGGUAGGCGGCCUGAGAGGGUGACCGGCCACACUGGGACUGAGACACGGCCCAGACUCCUACGGGAGGCAGCAGUGGGGAAUAUUGCACAAUGGGCGAAAGCCUGAUGCAGCAACGCCGCGUGAGGGAUGAAGGCCUUCGGGUUGUAAACCUCUUUUAGUUGGGAGGAAGCGAAAGUGACGGUACCAACAGAAAAAGCACCGGCUAACUACGUGCCAGCAGCCGCAGUAA